rnacentral:rRNA from 1 species
CCCUUAGAUGUUCUGGGCGGCCCGCGCACUACAAUGGCGUGUGCAGCGAGUGCCGAAGUAGAGUUUUCCGAGGUAUUCUUGCAAUGCUCGUUUUGAUGGGGAUAGACCCUUGCAACUGUUGGUUUUGAACGAGGAAUUCCUUGUAAGCAUGGUUUAUCAUCCGACGCUGAAUGCGUCCCUGCCCUUUGUACACACCGCCCGUCGCUCCUACCGAUGAGUCGUCCGGUGAAGUUCGUAGACCUCGUGAUCGCGGAUCACUGGGAGAAGCAAAAUGAACCUCGCGGUUUAGAGGAAGGAGAAGUCGUAACA